rnacentral:rRNA from 1 species
UACGGGGGGAGCAAGCGUUGUUCGGAUUUACUGGGCGUAAAGGGUGCGUAGGCGGGCAGGUAAGUCCGUGGUGAAAUCUCUGAGCUUAACUCAGAAACUGCCAUGGAUACUAUUUGUCUUGAAUAUUGUGGAGGCAAGCGGAAUAUGUCAUGUAGCGGUGAAAUGCUUAGAUAUGACAUAGAACACCCAUUGCGAAGGCAGCUUGCUACACAAUGAUUGACGCUGAGGCACGAAAAGCGUGGGGAUCAAACAGG